rnacentral:rRNA from 1 species
AGAGUUUGAUCCUGGCUCAGAACGAACGCUUGCGGCGCGCUUAAUACAUGCAAGUCGAACGCCGUAGCAAUACGGAGUGGCGCACGGGUGAGAAACGCGUGGGUAAUCUGCCUUUCAGUGGGGAAUAACCAGUCGAAAGAUUGGCUAAUACCGCAUGAGGCCACAGUUCCCGAGGGAACAGGGGUUAAAGAUUUAUCGCU